rnacentral:SRP_RNA from 1 species
GGUGGGUGCAGUGGCACACACCUGUAGUCCUAGCUACUCAAGAGGCUAAUGUGGGAGGAGAACUUGAGCCCAGGAGUUCUGGGCUAUCGUGCACUAUGGCAAUCAAGUGUCUGCACUAAAUUCAAUGUCAAUAUGGUCACCUCCUGGCUGUGGAGGACCACCAGAUUGCCUAAGAAUGGGUGAAUAGGUAAAUAGGCCCAGGUCAGAAGCAGAGCAGGUGAAAACUCUUUUGCUGAUUAAUUGUGGGAUCAUGCCUGUGAACACUCACUGCACUCCAGCCUGGGUGACAUAGUGAGACCCUGUCUCU